UCUAACGGACCAGAAUGCUCA
rnacentral:miRNA from 1 species